rnacentral:rRNA from 1 species
UACGUAGGGUGCAAGCGUUAAUCGGAAUUACUGGGCGUAAAGCGUGCGCAGGCGGUUGUGCAAGACAGAUGUGAAAUCCCCGGGCUCAACCUGGGAAUUGCAUUUGUGACUGCAUAGCUAGAGUACGGUAGAGGGGGAUGGAAUUCCGCGUGUAGCAGUGAAAUGCGUAGAUAUGCGGAGGAACACCGAUGGCGAAGGCAAUCCCCUGGACCUGUACUGACGCUCAUGCACGAAAGCGUGGGGAGCAAACAGG